AGUGAACGCUGGCGGUAGGCCUAACACAUGCAAGUCGAACGGCAGCACAGUAAGAGCUUGCUCUUACGGGUGGCGAGUGGCGGACGGGUGAGGAAUACAUCGGAAUCUACUUUUUCGGGGGGGAUAACGUAGGGAAACUUACGCUAAUACCGCAUACGACCUACGGGGGAAAGCAGGGGAUCUUCGGACCUUGCGCGAUUGAAUGAGCGGAUGUCGGAUUAGCUAGUUGGCGGGGUAAAGGCCCACCAAGGCGACGAUCCGUAGCUGGUCUGAGAGGAUGAUCAGCCACACUGGAACUGAGACACGGUCCAGACUCCUACGGGAGGCAGCAGUGGGGAAUAUUGGACAAUGGGCGCAAGCCUGAUCCAGCCAUACCGCGUGGGUGAAGAAGGCCUUCGGGUUGUAAAGCCCUUUUGUUGGGAAAGAAAAGCAGCAGGUUAAUACCCCGCUGUUCUGACGGUACCCAAAGAAUAAGCACCGGCUAACUUCGUG
rnacentral:rRNA from 1 species